UACGGGGGGGGGGGGGGGCGGCGACAAUCACAAUGGAGAUGUCGGAGCCUGGAGCCCUGAAGACAUCAACCGAGGGGAGGUAGCGCCCAACCCCAGCUUGGCUGGCGCGCGAGUGCGGCAGAGGCACAGCCUGGGCGACCACCACUCCUCCGGCACUACUUGGCCAGGCGCGAGUGGUCAAGUGCGCAUGCGCACCCCCUGCACACCACACCGCCCCGCAAGCAGCUGCCAGCGCCAAAGCAGAAGCGACCAGCAUGACAUCUGCAUCCAGGCUGGGAUCCAGGUCUGCUCUGGAGGUUGCCUUUCUGCGGAGGCACCUCAGAGGAGCAGAGGGAAGAGACACCGGUUCCUGGGACGCCUGGUCCUGCACUCCCAGCAGGGAAACCUACUGCCUAACAGUCGUUCCCCCAAGGGGAGCAAGCUGUUCUCCUGCUGCUGCUGAGCUCUGGGGCUGCUGGAGCAGUUCCGUGAGACGCAGCUGAGAAGCUGAAGCAGGAAGGAAGGAGAUGGGAAUUGCCCAAGAAGCUUCAGGAUCUACUCAGCGUAAAUGGAGAACUACAUGUAUCUUCUGCAGCCUUGGCUCAGAGGCCCAGAAAGAGCCGGGAAGGCUGCUGAGGUCCUCAGAUACCCUGCUUGCUUUGAUAUUCCAUCAAGAAGACAACCUUUCCCCAAAGCCACACCCUUGAGCAGUGCCACCAAGUCACACCAGUGCCCCUUUCUGUACCCUUUAGAGAAUACCCGGGAAAGAAAUAUAAUAAAAGGGAGCAAAAGACCAGGUCUUUUACCA